CUUUUAUUUAAAAACUAUAAAACAUGGUUCGUCAGUGCCAAAUUUGUAAGAAAUUGGACUAUUUAAGUCCUGGAACAACAUUCCACAGAUUAUGCUGCCAAAGUUUCCUGAAUACAAUUCCGACCACUCUGUAUAUCAAGAUAUCCCCCAUUACGUACUAGUUUUUCUUAAUAAUUUUCUAUACAUUUUCCAACGCCAAGAUGUACCAAGCGCAUACAAAUACAUCAAGCUUCAAACAAGCUUGCACGUUGACAGUAAUACCUACAGUAAUAUUGUAUUAUAUUAAUGUAAUAUUUUUGAACCAAUGUUCAAUAUUACUGUAGUAAUACUGUUUAUACUCAUGCCUUUUAUAUUUGUUUGAAUUUGGUGCAUAUUUCCAUUGAAUAAAGUAUAGUCACCAUUACCAUUAUUAUACUUACUCUAUAAUAAAGACAGUAACGAGUUAAA